rnacentral:lncRNA from 1 species
AGCUCAUGGUCUUUGGUAAUAUUUUCCCCAGNUCGGCAGAAGAGAGUGAGAACUUCUCAGAAGAUUACCCUGUUCCCCAGACUCUGCUGGUAGCUAGGGGNGCUNUGUGUUUGUAAGGGCCACUGGAGACCUUUAAGAGUCAAGAGAGGCAAUUUAUUCCCGCAGGGUAAGCAAAUGACCUGCAAAUGAGUUGGCUAUAAGGAGGCCCCUGAGUUUAGACAACAAAUGAAGGAGAAAGAUUUGUUCUGAAGAUGUUUGAAGACUCCAGAGAAAGAGCAGAGGCAAACCCGUCAACAUGUUUUGCUNCAGCCUUCCAGAGCUU